rnacentral:lncRNA from 10 species
CACUCACUCUGGGGGAAGGAAGCCAGUUUCCACACCAUGAGGAUAUUCAAGUGAGCUGUGGAGAAGCCCAGGAGAAAUGACAAAUCUGAAGUUCACAGAAACUAACCUGCCUGAGGUCACGCAGGCUUACAGCUGCAGGCUUCUUUGGCCUCCCAUGGCAGCGGCGCAGCCGAAUGGAUGGGGCGUGUCUCUGGAAUGUGUGUCCUUGCAUAGCGUUUAUAUCAGAAAGAGCUCCUGAGAAGAUCCAAAAAUGUUUUUAUCUCUUACUUCCCUGACAGGUUGAAGCCCCACCCCAAUGUGGCUAUUUGGAGAUGAGGCCUUUGGGAGAUAAUUGGGGUUGGAUGAGGUCAUGAAGGUGGAACCCUCGUGAUGGGAUAAUGGCUUGAUAAGAAGAGGAAGAGGGAGAGGUCGCUGUCCCUUUCCGCCAUGUAAGCACACAGCAGGAAAGCGACUGUCUACAAGCCAGGAAGAGGGCCCUUAUCAGGAACCAAAUCGGCCACCACUGUGAUCUGGGACUUUGCAGCCUUCAGAACUAUGGAAAUAAAUGCCUGUUGCUUAACCCA